GCAUUUUACUGUAUGUAAAGUACAUCUCACUUUAAAAAGAUACCCAUUAGACAGAAGAGAAAGAGGAAGCAGGUGACAUUACAAAACAAUUUUGAGGUGAAAAAGGAAGAUAACAAAGUUCUGUGGCAAGAACUCAACUUCUUUCUGGCCAGCAGGCUGUUGUAAUGGGCUUAGAUUGGUGUCAUGUGGUUAAACUUGGAUUCAAGAUAGUUCCUUUGCAGCAGAAAGGCAGGCAUGGGAGCUGGAUUAAAGGAAGGGGCACUUACACCCAGGCUUAAGGAGCAUACAAGGAGGAAAAACAAAUGGUUGCAUGACCUUGAGAAUUGUAAGUCAGACUGGCUUGUAUUGGAGAAGAAAAUGAAGACAAGAAAAUAGGGGAAAUGAUAUGAGUGGAGAGGAAAAAAAGGUUUUGAGGGCAGGGCAGGAACAGUGGGAGCUGGAAAUAUAAAGGUGGUCAGAGGGAUUGGCAUGAGUCCUUGAAAGUGAAGCAGUUACAAGUGCAAAAUGGCACUCUAAGAGAAAGACAGGAAAGAGGAACACUGUAUUUACAGAGCAUCAUCCACCCAAUGCCAGACAGUUUGCACACACUGACUCAUUUAAACAGCACCUCCACUUUGCAAGGAUGUACUACUAUUAUGAUAUUUAUAGAUGAGGAAACAGGUUCUGAGGUCAAUAAUUUGCCUUAGAGCAUAUUAGCAAGCAGCAGAAUAAUUUCAAAUCCAUAUUUGACUCCAAAGCCUCUUCCCACCAUGCUCAGCUGACCUUUAGGAAGAGAAUUUUAAGGAAUCCACAUAUGUAGAAUUGGAAGUCCUCUAGUGCUAGUGGAGGUAUAAAUAUAAGUAGACGGCAUGUGUUUCAGCAGUAUCUUUUAGAACCAUGCUUCAAGUUGGCAACAGAAAUAGAGAUCCUAUUAA
rnacentral:lncRNA from 1 species